rnacentral:rRNA from 1 species
UACGUAGGGUGCAAGCGUUGUCCGGAAUUAUUGGGCGUAAAGCGCGUGUAGGCGGCUUUGCAAGUCGGGUGUGAAAGCCCUCAGCUCAACUGAGGAAGUGCGCCCGAAACUGCAGAGCUUGAGUGCCGGAGAGGGUGGCGGAAUUCCCCAAGUAGAGGUGAAAUUCGUAGAUAUGGGGAGGAACACCGGAGGCGAAGGCGGCCACCUGGACGGUAACUGACGCUGAGACGCGAAAGCGUGGGGAGCAAACAGG